AUGCCAUUAUGGGGACAUUGUCUAAGAAGCUCCUUGAAUCUUUCCCAAGCAUCAAAUAGGGACUCAUCAUCUCCUUGCCUAAAUGAGGUUAUCUCAUUUCUCAUUUU